rfam:Drosophila grimshawi strain TSC#15287-2541.00 Ctg01_18945, whole genome shotgun sequence.
CCAGUCAAUGUCAAAGUGUUGCUGCCUUACAACCAAGUUAAUUGCACUGCACGCACACGCCAAGACGCA